rnacentral:lncRNA from 1 species
AAGUUGCUGUCUCCGCUGACCAGGCAACGGCAUCAUGUGUGGAGCUACACCUGGAGGAGCUACAUGUUGAAUAUGAAUCUGAUUGUGCAGAUGUGGAGGUAAAGGCUGAUUGUGCAGAUGUGGAGGUAAAGGUUGAUUGUGCAGCUGUGGAGGCAAUGAUUGGUUGUGCAGCUGUACAGGUAAUGGUGCCAUUGCACCAGAUCGUAUGUCCCAACUAGCAGCAGCUUGAGGUACCUGAGGAAGUGAGACUCCAUUGGAGAUUGCCGGAUAUGGAAUGCUGUUAUAUGAAUGAACUGUGGCACCAGCCAUGGGGACUGGCUGAGG